UGAAGCGGAAACACGUUUUUUCAAGUUCCUGUAUUUUUAUGUGGAGUUGCUCACUGCCCAACGUAGAGGACUAGGAAUCAGGAGUCGGUGGCCGUAUGCUGGAGGCUGGAGCCGCGGGAGCGCGGCUCGCCUCGCUGCGGUUGUUGGCAGUGACGGAGAGAGAGCAGCGCGGCUGGAGCAGGACAUUGUAUUAGUUUCCUGCAAUAAAAUAUUUUUACAAUGUCAGUUUGUCGAAACUGCUGGACUGUAAACUAUUUCUAAUCGAAACCUGAAAUUGUGUCACAACAUGGCUGUAUUACGAUUCCAUGUCAGAGGAAGGAUAUAUACGUGCAUCUGGUAGUGGCUUCCAGUUGUUGCUGUCAGAUGUUUGUUUGGGAAUGCAUUCAGAAGAGCUUAUCAAGGACUUGAGUACAAAACAAGCAUUUCCACAAAAAAGCAGUGACACAAAUCACUAUGUAAUAUAGUUAGCCUUUGAACAACACGGAUUUGAACUGCAGGGGUCUACUUAUGAGCAGAUUUUCUCCCACCUCUACCACCUGAGACAGCGAAGACCAAUCUUCCUCUUCCUCCUUCUCCUUAGCCUGCUCAACUUGAAGACUAUGAUGAAGAGUUAUAUAAUGAUCUACUUGCAUUUAAUGAACAAUAGUUUCCCUUGCAAAGUUAUCAAAGUGCUCCCCAGAAGACAUUAGGUAUUUGCUUUCUAGUCUAC
ensembl:lncRNA CCDC144NL-AS1 CCDC144NL antisense RNA 1